rnacentral:rRNA from 1 species
UGGGGAAUUUUGGACAAUGGGCGAAAGCCUGAUCCAGCAAUGCCGCGUGUGUGAAGAAGGCCUUCGGGUUGUAAAGCACUUUUGUCCGGAAAGAAAUCCUUGGCUCUAAUACAGUCGGGGGAUGACGGUACCGGAAGAAUAAGCACCGGCUAACUACGUGCCAGCAGCCGCGGUAAUACGUAGGGUGCAAGCGUUAAUCGGAAUUACUGGGCGUAAAGCGUGCGCAGGCGGUUUGCUAAGACCGAUGUGAAAUCCCCGGGCUCAACCUGGGAACUGCAUUGGUGACUGGCAGGCUAGAGUAUGGCAGAGGGGGGUAGAAUUCCACGUGUAGCAGUGAAAUGCGUAGAGAUGUGGAGGAAUACCGAUGGCGAAGGCAGCCCCCUGGGCCAAUACUGACGCUCAUGCACGAAAGCGUGGGGAGCAAACAGGAUUAGAUACCCUGGUAGUCCACGCCCUAAACGAUGUCAACUAGUUGUUGGGGACUUCAUUUUCCUUAGUAACGUAGCUAACGCGUGAAGUUGACCGCCUGGGGAGUACGGUCGCAAGAUUAAAACUCAAAUGAAUUGACGGGGUCAUAGCU